AGAUGAGCGGUCGUUGCGUUCCAAAACUUCAUCCAGUCCGGAAGUGUGAUGCCAAGAAGCCUGUUGCGAAGAGGAAUGUCAAGGCCAAGCGCACAGCCGCAUAUGAAGGGAAAAAACGGAUUCAUUGUUGGCGAAUAUCAAAACAAGAAGAUUAAUUCAAGCACACACUAUCCAUUUUCAUUGUAUAUUAACUCAGUCGAAUAAGAUUUUUUAUAUGUAUUUGAAAUCUUAUUCGGUUCACACUGAUUAUCAAUUUGGUUCUACUAAACUUCAAUUGGUUUGAAUUGUUUAUGUAUUAUGGUGAAUCAAAUUGCUAGUAUUGUGGAACUAAUUCUCAUUUCGGGAUUUCUUAAUGAUCUUCAAUAUAUGAUUUUGAA